rnacentral:rRNA from 1 species
UUUAAUUCGAAGCAACGCGAAGAACCUUACCAAGUCUUGACAUCCCUCUGACCGACUCUUAACCGAGUCUUUCCUUCGGGACAGAGGAGACAGGUGGUGCAUGGUUGUCGUCAGCUCGUGUCGUGAGAUGUUGGGUUAAGUCCCGCAACGAGCGCAACCCCUAUCCCCAGUAGCCAGCGGUUCGGCCGGGCACUCUGAGGAGACUGCCAGGGAUAACCUGGAGGAAGGCGGGGAUGACGUCAAAUCAUCAUGCCCCUUAUGAUUUGGGCUACACACGUGCUACAAUGGCGUAAACAAAGGGAAGCGAACCCGCGAGGGUGGGCAAAUCCCAAAAAUAACGUCCCAGUUCGGACUGUAGUCUGCAACCC